AGAAUGAACGCUGGCGGCGUGCUUAACACAUGCAAGUCGAGCGAGGCCAGGGGGCAACUCCCUGAGUCGAGCGGCGGACGGGUGAGUAACACGUGGGUAACCUACCCGGAAGUGGGGAAUACCUCGGGGAAACUCGAGCUAAUACCGCAUGACAUCUCGAGGACGAAAGUUCUUGUGAUCAAAGCGGGGCCGCAAGGCCUCGUGCUACCGGAUGGGCCCGCGCCCGAUUAGCUAGUUGGCGAGGUAAUGGCUCACCAAGGCGACGAUC
rnacentral:rRNA from 1 species